ensembl:lincRNA
GGGAGGGCAUUGUGAAGUGUGGGGUGGGGCAUUGUGUGCCACAUGCCUGGGCUCCCACCUGGGCCAGUGGGCUUCAGUCUGUAGGUGACUACGGAAGGAGGAGGAGCUCCGUCUGUUCUCUCUUCAGGCAGUUGUUGUGUCUCUCAGCACUUGUUGGGUUCACAACCUAUUAAAUAAGCCGGCUGGUCUUCACCCUCCCAGACAAGUCAACUCAGGGGAGGCGGCAGGGUGCGGGCCUUGGCCCGCAGCCCUAGCCGGGGCCGGGGCCAGGGCUGGUGCCCGGGGCCGCGCUGUGAGGUGGGCAGGCGAGGAGCUGGAAGACCAUCUCUGCAAGUGCAGCAUAGCCUCGGCCUAGGACAGCGGGAGUGCGUGGCCAAAGCUGUGAGCAGAGGCACAGGUGGUGGCAGACAGUAGAGGCGCCCCAUGGGGAACAUACUGACCUGUCGUGUGCACCCUAGCGUCAGCCUCGAGUUUGACCAGCAACAGGGGUCGGUGUGUCCCUCUGAAUCUGAGAUCGAUGAGGCAGGAGCUGGGGACAGGAUGGCAGGAGCGCCCAUGGCUGCUGCUGUACAGCCUGCUGAGGUGACUGUUGAAGUUGGUGAGGACCUCCACAUGCACCACAUUCGUGACCGGGAGAUGCCUGAAGCUUUGGAGUUUAACCUUUCUGCCAAUCCAGAGUCAAGCACAAUAUUCCAGAGGAACUCUCAAACCGAUGCUUUGGAGUUUAACCCUUCUGCCAAUCCAGAGGCAAGCACAAUAUUCCAGAGGAACUCUCAAACAGAUGUUGUAGAAAUAAGAAGAAGCAACUGUACAAACCAUGUAAGUAAACACUCAAAUAGUUAAGAAAUUGAUAGUUUGACA